rnacentral:lncRNA from 1 species
ACUGGUAUGAUCUCAUCAUAAUCCUAGAAUUAUUAUCUUAAUCUAUGGAGUUUAUCAUAAUUAUAAAAAUAUGAUACAGCAAAUGAUAAAACAUAAUAUCUCAUGAAUAAAAUAACUAAUGUCAUGCAAAUAAGCAAAAAAAAAUAUAGAAAAGUCCCUUCACAUCAUCCAUGCGAUUGGCUUGUAGGACACUAUUCUUUCAUCACCAUCUUAAAAUCUCCUACUGACCUAAAGUAUCUACAAUGAAUUGUAAAUAUUAAUAGGACUAUCAGUAUCUAAUACUGAGGUCAUUGUAUCAAAAAUUGAGAAGUUGCAAGGUGUUAUCAUAUAAUUAUUUUGCUCAGUAACCGAUUGCUUCUUCUUUUUCGACCUGUUCGGAUCAAGGGAUGCUAUAUAUUAAGGAUGGUUCCUCUUCCAAUGACUCUGCUUCCUACAGUAGAAGUACUUUGCCUGACUCUGAUCGAACUUGGACUUAGACUUUUAGGUCUGACUCUCAGUACUUUGCACCUUUUUAUUCUUCUUUUUCUUUCCUUUCUUAAAGGGAUGAUGCCCACCCAAAGAAAAUAUUCCUACUAUAUUUACCAUCUCCUUAUGGAGCUAGUGGUCUUUCUUAAAAGUCUGUAGCAACUCCAACAGAUCG